AGAUUAACUUGAAGCUCGAAGUUCAGCCCUGGACUUGAUCAUCAUAGCUGAACUCUCAAUUCUUGACAAUGGAGCAUCAAAGUGGAUUAUUACAGAUUUUCGGAGGAAAUGAAAGCUCGAAUAAGGCACAUCAUAUUGAAUGCAACUGAAGCAUGUUCUUGAGGAGGUUCAAGCUCCAUACAAAUGCCAAAAUGGAUUGUUUCUAUUUACUACUGUGACUGCAAUCAAGGAAGUGAUUAAGAAACCUGAUGUCAAUCAAGCAGCUGAGAUCUCAGUUUAACAAGGAUUUCAUGAUGAAAAGAAAAGCUAGAAAAGUUGGUGAAAGAUAUCGUUCAGGUAUUCCUGGAAGAAGAAAGAAAUGAGGCAAAAUGGAUACACAAUGGAAAAUAAGGCAGUACAUGCUAACAAAGGAAACCUAUGCCGUAAAAUGUAAACAAGAAAUGAGAUAGCUACAUCCAACUUUGUAUUGGAAGAAACUCUUGUAUCAUUCUUUUUGUUAGAGAAUGAAAAUGAAAGAGA